rnacentral:lncRNA from 1 species
AGAAAAAACAAAAAUUUCACUAUUGAUUUUUCCGAAGACUUCAUAGAAACUCCAAAUCACAGAGAAUGUCUUUUCUUUUUCUAUUGUGUCUGCUAAUUUAACCAUAAUGAUGUAAGUCUAAUCCUCAUAAUAGCCUUAUAAAAUAAGUGUUACUAUCUUUUUCAAAAGAGACGAGAAAAUGAUGGUUGAGAGAGGUUAAGUAAUUGUGGUACAGAAUUGUUGAAGUCAGCUUACAAAAUGUAGCUCUGUCUGGAACAACCCAACUUUUUCCCUCUGUGUGAUACUGCUUCUUAUUAUGUAGGCCAAGGUUGGACAACACGAACAAAAGAAAUCAAAAGAGAACUCAUUAAGACCUUGAACAUCAUGCUUCACCUAGUGAGAGAACGUGGACUUCUAGUUAGAAGAACUUGCAUUCUUCCACUGCAGUGCAAGAAAACACCUAGAUGGGGUUGUCAAGUCUCAUCCAUCAUCAAAAAUCAAGUCAGAAAUCUGAAUGAGAAUCUCUAGGCACUUCCAUAGAGAAUGGCCAAAAGAUAUAAGCCAGAGGGAGCACAUUUGAUUGCUUCACAGGAGUCCUGAGGUAAGUAAGUUGUUCUGUUUGACGUUUAUGCUUUCUGUUUUUUGAAAUUUUAGAUUCUGUGAUUAUGUCAAAAACAAUUGUAAUCUUUCACUUAAAAAAUAGUUUCUUAUGAAACGUAAACUCUAGAAAGAGUACAUCUGGAA